rnacentral:lncRNA from 1 species
UAUAUAAAAAAGAAGAUGUGGUAUGAUUGCCAAUGAGACAACUAUCCACAAAAAAACCAAAAUGACACAGACAUUAACAACUAUAGUCACCGUACGGUCUUCAACAAUGAGCAAAGCCCAUACCGCAUAGUCAGAUAUAAUAGGCCUCGAUAAGACAAUGUAAAACAAUUCAAACGAGAAAACUAACGGCCUUAUUUAUGUAAAAAAAUGAAAGAAAAACAAAUAUGUAACGUAUAAACAAACGACCACC